GUCUUUUUGUAAAAAAUUUAAAGUCGGGCCUGCCCACUGAAAAAGACUUAAAUGGCCGCGGUAUUUUGACCGUGCUAAGGUAGCAUAAUCAUUAGUUUUUUAAUUGGAAGCUGGAAUGAAGGGUUUGAUGAAAAAAUAACUGUCUCUAAAUAAUUUUAUUAGAAUUUUAUUUUUAAGUUAAAAAGCUUAAAUAUUUUUAAAAGACGAGAAGACCCUAUAGAGUUUAAUAAAAAAAUUAAAUUUUAAAUUCAGAAUUUAGUUUAAUAUUAGAUUAAUUUAUUAAGUUGGGGUGAUUUAAAAAUUUGAUAAACUUUUUUUAUAUUAUUAUAUUAAUUAAUAAAUUUUUGAUCCAAUUAUAUUGAUUAUAAGAAAAAAUUACCUUAGGGAUAACAGCGUAAUCUUAUUAGAGAGAUCA
rnacentral:rRNA from 1 species